GGGAUUUUCCGCAUGGGCGAAAGCCUGACGGAGCAAUACCGCGUGAGGGAGGAAGGUCCUUGGAUUGUAAACCUCUUUUAUCAGGGAAGAAGUUCUGACGGUACCUGAUGAAUAAGCAUCGGCUAACUCCGUGCCAGCAGCCGCGGUAAUACGGAGGAUGCAAGCGUUAUCCGGAAUUAUUGGGCGUAAAGCGUCCGUAGGUGGUUAUGCAAGUCUGCCGUUAAAGAAUGGAGCUUAACUCCAUAGGAGCGGUGGAAACUGCAAGACUAGAGUACAGUAGGGGUAGCAGGAAUUCCCAGUGUAGCGGUGAAAUGCGUAGAUAUUGGGAAGAACAUCGGUGGCGAGAGCGUGCUACUGGGCUGAAACUGACACUGAGGGACGAAAGCUAGGGUAGCGAAAGGGAUUAGAUACCCCUGUAGUCCUAGCCGUAAACGAUGGAUACUAGGCGUGGUUUGUAUCGACCCGAGCCGUGCCGAAGCUAACGCGUUAAGUAUCCCGCCUGGGGAGUACGCACGCAAGUGUGAAACUCAAAGGAAUUGACGGGGGCCCGCACAAGCGGUGGAGUAUGUGGUUUAAUUCGAUGCAACGCGAAGAACCUUACCAAGGCUUGACAUCCCUGGAAUCCUGCGGAAACGUGGGAGUGCCUUAGGGAGCCAGGAGACAGGUGGUGCAUGGCUGUCGUCAGCUCGUGUCGUGGGAUGUUGGGUUAAGUCCCGCAACGAGCGCAACCCUCGUUUUUA
rnacentral:rRNA from 1 species